UUUUAUCCCUCAUUCAACAGUACUUUCCAUUCUUUUUUUCCCUCUAGUUCUCCCUUCUUGCAUUUUCUAAAAAUUAUAUGAAUUUCAAUGUUGACGAGGGUUUUUGCUGCUCUCUCUCUCUCCUCCCCAUUUAAUUUUCUCGUUUUUUCCCCGUUUCAGGUUAAGCUCUUUUUACCUGCCUUCUCUUUCUCCUUUGAUUUUCUUGGGUUUUCUAUUUGGUUGCUGAGAAAUAUCUUAAUGGCAUUGAUUCUGUUGCUAGAUUGUAUCCACAGAAAAUAGAAAAAGAAUGCCAAAACUCUAUUGCACAUGCAUCUCGUUCAAGGAGUUUUGAUUUUCCUUCUUGUUUCUUACUGUUUCUCUGGAACCAAACAGUUCAAAAGGUUUGUUAUUCUUUUCAAUUAAUUGAAAAGUAGAUCAUUUUAAAGGUAAUUGAUGUUCUGAGUGAUGGGUAUCGGUUAUUUUGGUAUAAUAAUUUAUGGGUUUGUUAUUUUAGGACUACAUGCACAUCUGAUUUUUUUUUUUAUAACAGAUUUGCUUGUCUAUAACACAUCUGAUGUUUAUUUUCUUGAUUUUGUUUCAUUAUUAAGCUGGCCGAAUGUGUGAUUAAGGCUACUUAAAAGUUAGUUAAAAUGAUGUCUGAAAAUAAAUAAAUUUGGUUGCCUUAGAUGGUAUUUAUGACGUCCGUAUACUGCUGUUAAUAGAGGAUUAAUGGCAGUAGUAGAAUGUUUGUUUAAGGCUACUUAAAAGUUAAUGCCUGAAAAGUAUUAAUUUGGUUGUUUUAAAUGUUUGGAAACUUUUUUAAGACUGGAAUUAAUGGCGUCCGAAUGGUAUUUUAAUGCUGUUUAAAGGUUAGUUUAGAGAUGUCUGAAAGAGUAAAUUGGUUGGGUUAAAUGUUGCGAAGAUUAUGGUGCCUGGAAGUUUUAAUUUGGACGAUCAAUGCCAUGUUUGCUGUUGAAUAUUUCUGUUACGUAGGACAAAUUAAAUAAGUUAAUGUCCAUUAAAAAUACUGAUUUAAAUGAGUGUAAUGUUGUCCAAGGUAAAGACAAAUUAUAUGUAUUGUGCAAGUGAAAUUUUGUAAAAUUGCUGUUGCAUGUUUGCUGUCCGAGGCAACCCUUACAUAUAUGUGAGUGUGAAAUACAGUACAAAACUUGGAUUCAAUUUUUGUGAUGCAGAUUUAUAUAUAAAUUGCCAGCAUUUUCAGGGCCAUUUUGAAUGUAUUUUUGUGGAGUCAUAUUUGUAUAAUGGUACCCUAACUUAGAUUUGAUUUUAUGGUAGAUUGAAAUACAACAAAAGUAUCAGCAUUUUUUUUAAUAGAAUCUGAUUUGUGAAGUAGCAGUGGAAGAGGACUUGCCUUUCUUCUUCAAAGAUACAUCUUUUGAUCUUUGUUCCUUCAAGAUGAGUACUUCAGUGGUUGAAGUUAAUGGUGAAAAGGUCAAAGCAAUGUGGAUAAGAGAUUGACAAAAAUAUUUUGUGGGAUUUGUAUUAAAGAGAUAUUGAAAGGCAAUAGACCUGGUACUCUUUUCACAAAAGAUGGAUGGCUAAAAAUAAUAACCAACUUCGAGAAAGAAACAAGUAAGGUUUAUUCACAAAGACAACUUAAAAAUAGGCAACUUAAAAAUAGGUGGAAUGCCUUGAAAAAAGAAUGAAAGACUUGGAAGAAACUUAAAGGUGAAGAUACUGGUCUAGGGUGGAAUUCUAUAAAAAGAACCGUUGAUGUAUCGAAUGAUUGGUGGGAAAGUAGGCUAAAGGUUGUGCCUGAAGCUAAAAAAUUUAGAACAUCAGGCAUUGAUCCUGAAUAUGAAGGGAAGUUGGACUAGAUGUUCAUGGUGGUAAUUGCAACCGGUGAUAAAGCAUGGUCACCUUCUUCUGGUACAUUCUGUAAUGAAUUUUUUGAGGAUGUUAACAAUGACAUACCUGAAGAGAAUGAGGAAGAAAAUGCGAGAAAUGAUGUUCACAUUUUUAAUGAUGUUCAUAUUGAUGGAAACAGUCAAAAAAGAAAAACGUCUUAAAUAUCCACUUCACAUUUUAAAAUUGGAAUGAAGAAAUCCUUAAAGCAAAUUGGAAGGGUUUUAAGAUUGUCUAGUCAAAUUGAAAAAUUAUGUAAUGCAGUAGACAAUAUGAGUCAAGCCACAUGUAGUUUGACUCCUGCUAUGAAUCCAUAUGGUAUUCCACAAGUAGUCAAACUGCUUGAUAACAUGUUGGAGGAAGUUCUAGAAGUUAGUCCACUAUACUUUUUCUAACUAAAAUUAUUACUCAAUAAGGACAAGGGAAUUGUAUUUUUAUCAAUUAAUCCCAAGAUUAGAGCUUUGUGGCUUAAGACAAAAAUGGAGGAAAGUUGAAAAUUUUCUAGUCUUCUAGGGUCUUGAGAUAUCUACAACGUGACUAAACAACAAUGCUAAACUAGUUUUUUCAAUAGUUGUUUAUGCUUGGUUUUUGGAUAUUGAAUUUAUGUUCUAUUUAUUUAUGUGUAAUAUUUUUAUCAA